rnacentral:rRNA from 1 species
UACAGAGGUGGCAAGCGUUGUUCGGAAUUACUGGGCGUAAAGGGCGCGUAGGCGGUCUGGUCAGUCCCUUGUGAAAUCCCCCGGCUCAACUGGGGGACUGCACGGGAAACAGCCGGGCUUGAGUUCGGGAGAGGGAAGCGGAAUUCCGGGUGUAGCGGUGAAAUGCGUAGAUAUCUGGAGGAACACCGGUGGCGAAGGCGGCAUCCUGGACCAUAACUGACACUGAUAAGCGAAAGCCAGGGGAGCAAACGGG